UACGAAGGGGGCUAGCGUUGUUCGGAUUUACUGGGAGUAAAGCGCACGUAGGCGGAUCGUUAAGUCGGGGGUGAAAUCCUGGAGCUCAACUCCAGAACUGCCUUCGAUACUGGCGAUCUUGAGUCCGGAAGAGGUGAGUGGAACUCCUAGUGUAGAGGUGGAAUUCGUAGAUAUUAGGAAGAACACCAGUGGCGAAGGCGGCUCACUGGUCCGGUACUGACGCUGAGGUGCGAAAGCGUGGGGAGCAAACAGG
rnacentral:rRNA from 1 species